UACGUAGGCAGCAAGCGUUGUUCGGAAUUACUGGGCGUAAAGAGUGUGUAGGCGGUUCUCUAAGUUCGGUGUGAAAUCUCCUGGCUUAACUGGGAGGGUGCGCCGGAAACUGGAGGGCUCGAGUGUGGGAGAGGAAAGCGGAAUUCCUGGUGUAGCGGUGAAAUGCGUAGAUAUCAGGAGGAACACCUGUGGUGUAGACAGCUUUCUGGACCAUUACUGACGCUGAGACACGAAAGCGUGGGUAG
rnacentral:rRNA from 1 species